AACUGGAUGUCGCGUUUGAUGAAGGCAGUCAAUGGCUUCUGCAAGUUACCCCGCUUGUCGCUCAUCCGACGCGAGAACAGUGGUCCGAAGUAUCGCAACACAGCUGUUGGUGUAGAAAUAGUAGAGAAGCCGAGCUUUCGGAGAACAAACGAGAGAGGACGGUCCUCGCGACGAAAUCUGAUACCAUCUUUGGCGCGCGUCUCUUUCCUCAGCCCCUGUCGCGACUCGUUCGUCCGCGGUGUUCACGGUCACAGGGCAGUAUUGCGCAUGAACUGUGAUACCCCGUGUUACUAGGUUGUCGUUGUGUGAAUCGACAAUUCUGGAUGAAUAGAGAGGUAUGACGGUGUCGUACGUUUUCCACUGCGGCGCACGUGUCCCCGUAUGUCUUUCCCACCAGGGAUUCUUUAUCACUCGCUUGUUAACGGAAAUCCCAGAUGAGAGUCGCAACGCAUGCUUCGUAUCGAUCCUGGGCAGGAUCCCCUUGGACGCUGCUGCCAAGUUGCUAACCGCAUAGCUGGCGGAGCGUUGUCUUCAUACGGCGGAACCAGCCGACACGGUCUUGAGCAAUGCCUCCUGAGGCUCCCAGCUCCAGGCAUCCACCUCUGCUGCAUGAUUCGCACCGCGUUGUGUGGCGUCACUAACAGGUUAUUGACACCAGGCCAGGUGUUGUCGAAUUCAACUGAGCACGGCCCUUGACGCGAGAGCGACAGACUCGAGAACGUCUCACGUGCACGAGAUCACAAGUGAAGGAUGGCACAAGGGGACAGCACGGGGAGUUCCUUGUCCUGGUGGGGAAAGGACAACAGCUCGUGGGAUUGUCUGCUCUGGGGGCCUGUGGUGAUGCAUUGUGGUGCCACGCAGUGACCUAGCGUCGAGGAAGGCAAAACGUGCUCCACAGGACUCCUAAAAGGCCAUAGAUACUUUGUGAGUGUUGGGGGAGACAUGGGGAGUAGAACGGUGGACGUGUGGUCGAGGGUAAUGUGCGGCCACUCGACGGCAUGCGCACCGACGCCAAGUCUUACACAGCGUUGUGGAUACUUCGAGGGACGCAGCAAGCUAAUCAGAAACAAUGCGUGGUCGCCAUUUCACACGAAUGAGUGU
rnacentral:lncRNA from 1 species